rnacentral:rRNA from 1 species
CCUACGGGAGGCAGCAGUGAGGAAUAUUGGUCAAUGGUCGGGAGACUGAACCAGCCAAGCCGCGUGAGGGAUGCAGGUACAGAGUAUCGUAAACCUCUUUUGUCAGGGAACAAAGGCGGGGACGUGUCCACGGAUGAGUGUACCUGAAGAAAAAGCAUCGGCUAACUCCGUGCCAGCAGCCGCGGUAAUACGGAGGAUGCGAGCGUUAUCCGGAUUUAUUGGGUUUAACGGGUGCGCAGGCGGUCUGUUAAGUCAGCGGUCAAAGACCGGGGCGCAACCCCGGCCCGCCGGUGAAACUGGCAGUCUCGAGUUGAAGAGAAGUAGGCGGAAUGGGCGGUGUAGCGGUGAAAUGCAUAGAUAUCGCGCAGAACUCCGAUUGCGAAGGCAGCAGGCCGGCUCCACACUGACGCUGGGGCACGAAAGCGUGGGUAUCGAACAGGAGUAGAUACCCGAGUAGU